rnacentral:misc_RNA from 1 species
UCAACCCUCAAGCCUGGCUUGUUGUUGGACUCUCGUCGUUCCACGACGGGUCCGAAAGAAAAUGACGGAGUCGUGUUGGACCCCAGAUGCAACGAGCUUUCACGAGCACGCAUUAAGUGGCCAAUUGUUCCGGUCUUGACCAAAUAUUUUCAA